GAUGAACGCUGGCGGCGUGCCUAAUACAUGCAAGUCGAGCGAACAGACGAGGAGCUUGCUCCUCUGACGUUAGCGGCGGACGGGUGAGUAACACGUGGAUAACCUACCUAUAAGACUGGGAUAACUUCGUGAAACCGGAGCUAAUACCGGAUAAUAUAUUGAACCGCAUGGUUCAAUAGUGAAAGACGGUUUUGCUGUCACUUAUAGAUGGAUCCGCGCCGCAUUAGCUAGUUGGUAAGGUAACGGCUUACCAAGGCAACGAUGCGUAGCCGACCUGAGAGGGUGAUCAGCCACAUUGGAACUGAGACACGGUCCAGACUCCUACGGGAGGCAGCAGUAGGGAAUCUUCCGCAAUGGGCGAAAGCUUGACGGAGCAACGCCGCGUGAGUGAUGAAGGUCUUCGGAUCGUAAAACUCUGUUAUUAGGGAAGAACAAAUGUGUAAGUAACUAUGCACGUCUUGACGGUACCUAAUCAGAAAGCCACGGCUAACUACGUG
rnacentral:rRNA from 1 species